CCUGGUGAUCAUGGCGCCGUCGAACCACCCGAUCCCAUCCCGAACUCGGACGUGAAAGGCGGCAGCGCCGAUGGUACUUGCGCUUAAGCGCUGGAAGAGUAGGUCAUCGCCAGGU
rfam:Alpha proteobacterium Q-1 DNA, contig: contig000108.